rnacentral:misc_RNA from 1 species
CUAAAUUUAGGUUUUAAUUAAAAAAAGCAAUAAUAAAAAAGUAUAUUUAAAUUUGACUAUAAAGAAAGAAAAGAAAAGAGAUAAUUACAAUAAGAAAUUAAUUUGAUGCUAACCAAUUGUGAUACAAAAAUUACAAAACUGAUAAUUAUGAUAAGAAAGCAAUUUCAAGCUAACUGAACACAAUCUACUCAUUCAAAGAAUUCCUUGACACAAAGGAAUGGAUCUUUGUAGAUUUUCAUUUCGUUAAUUAAAACACUAUCCAUAACAUAUGAACAAAAAAAAAAAAGUAUAAUAAAUAUCAUAGUAAAACCAAACUGUUAGAUUGGACCACUAGGAUCCUUUGAAUUUUUAUUGUUGCAUAGCCACAUUCUGCACCCUUUUCUUGUUAAGUUUCGUCUCAACUGUGCCAUCCAACAUCAUAUGUGGAAUGUUCUGCUUAUGGCACCAUAAUGCUUGUAACCUAAGUCCAAAUAUUUUUGCAUAGUUUUUUUUUUUUGUCAUUUCAGUUAUCUUGUUUUAGUAAUUAGUUGACUUGUUCCAAAUUUGGUUUUUUGAAACA